rnacentral:rRNA from 1 species
UACGUAGGGUGCAAGCGUUAAUCGGAAUUACUGGGCGUAAAGCGUGCGCAGGCGGUUGUGCAAGACAGAUGUGAAAUCCCGGGCUUAACCCUGGGAACUGCAUUUGUGACUGCACGGCUAGAGUGUGUCAGAGGGGGGUAGAAUUCCACGUGUAGCAGUGAAAUGCGUAGAUAUGUGGAGGAAUACCGAUGGCGAAGGCGACUACCUGGCCUGUUCUUGACGCUGAGGCGCGAAAGCGUGGGGAUCAAACAGG